UACGUAGGGUGCAAGCGUUAAUCGGAAUUACUGGGCGUAAAGCGUGCGCAGGCGGUUCUAUAAGACAGAUGUGAAAUCCCCGGGCUCAACCUGGGAACUGCAUUUGUGACUGUAGAGCUGGAGUGCGGCAGAGGGGGAUGGAAUUCCGCGUGUAGCAGUGAAAUGCGCAGAUAUCAGGAGGAACACCAAUAGCGAAGGCAGCUCGCUGGGACGGUAUUGACGCUAAGGCGCGAAAGCGUGGGGAGCAAACAGGG
rnacentral:rRNA from 1 species